AUUGAACGCUGGCGGCAUGCCUUACACAUGCAAGUCGAACGGCAGCACGGGGCAACCUGGUGGCGAGUGGCGAACGGGUGAGUAAUGCAUCGGAACGUACCUUUCAGUGGGGGAUAACGUAGCGAAAGUUACGCUAAUACCGCUUACUCUGUGAGCAGGAAAGCAGGGGAUCGCAAGACCUUGCGCUGAUUGAGCGGCCGAUGUCAGAUUAGCUAGUUGGUGAGGUAAAGGCUCACCAAGGCGACGAUCUGUAGCGGGUUUGAGAGGAUGAUCCGACACACUGGAACUGAGACACGGUCCAGACUCCUACGGGAGGCAGCAGUGGGGAAUUUUGGACAAUGGGGGCAACCCUGAUCCAGCCAUGCCGCGUGAGUGAAGAAGGCCUUCGGGUUGUAAAGCUCUUUCGGCCGGGAAGAAAUCGCACGGGCUAAUACCCUGUGUGGAUGACGGUACCGGAAUAAGAAGCACCGGCUAACUACGUGCCAGCCGCCGCGGUAA
rnacentral:rRNA from 1 species